UCAUAGCUCAGUGGCAGAGCAUCUGCUUUGCAUGCAGAAGGUCACAGGUUCGACCCCCGACUGGAAGAG